rnacentral:rRNA from 1 species
AGCUCCAAUAGCAUAUAUUAAAGCUGUUGCAGUUAAAGAGCUUAUAGUUCAACUUGUGGCCUGGAUGGCUCGGUCUAACGCUUCUGCCUGGGUAACUGAGCCAUAGGACCAUCUUUAGGUGGAACCUGUGCAGCAUUAUAUUGUCAUGUAGGGGAUGCACAUUGUUUACUGUGAAAAAAUCAGAGUGUUGAAAGUAGGCUUAUGCCUUUGAAUAUAUUAGCAUAGAAUAAUGAUAUAAAACUUUGGUACUAUUUUGUUAGUUUGUGCACUAAAGAAAUGAUUUAAUAGGAACAGUUGGGAACAUUAUGAUUUUUAGGUCAGCGGUAAAAUCCUUAGAUUCUUUAAAGGCUAACUACUGCAAAAAAAUCUAUCAAGGAUGUUUUCA